rnacentral:rRNA from 1 species
AACGAACGCUGGCGGCACGCUUAACACAUGCAAGUCGAACGAAUGAACCGGAGCUUGCUCCGGUGAUUUAGUGGCAAACGGGUGCGUAACACGUGGGAAUCUACCUAUCAGAAUGGGACAACCUUGGGAAACUAAGGCUAAUACCGUAUACGCUCGAAAGAGGAAAGAUUUAUCGCUGAUAGAUGAGCCCGCGUCAGAUUAGGUAGUUGGUGGGGUAAUGGCCUACCAAGCCUUUGAUCUGUAGCUGGUCUGAGAGGAUGAUCAGCCACACUGGAACUGAGACACGGUCCAGACUCCUACGGGAGGCAGCAGUGGGGAAUAUUGGACAAUGGGCGCAAGCCUGAUCCAGCAAUGCCGCGUGCAGGAAGAAGGCCUUCGGGUUGUAAACUGCUUUUGUCAGGGAAGAAAUCCUCUGGGUUAAUACCCCGGGGGGAUGACGGUACCUGAAGAAUAAGCACCGGCUAACUACGUGCCAGCAGCCGCCGUAACAC